UAAAUGGAAUGUUGACAGGGAUCCUCUGUCGGAAACCAAACGAGACCGAAACGUCGACCCAUAAUGGAAAUCUCGCUUAUGACACUGCAUAUACUCGGUUUCAUGAAGUUCUACAGAAAUUAAAAUUGAUAGAAAACCAUAUACCAUGACUUAUACUGUUGGGGAUCUUUUGAUGAAGGAGCUUGGACGGAAGUUUGAGACGCCAUUAAAUUUGGGACAAAGUAGACUCAAAGGCCCUUAGAGAUAGCACCAAUUCCAACCUACAUGCUUGACUCCUUCAAUUCCUCAAGUUUUCGGUGGUUGAAUAAAAUUAUUACAGCUUUGCAUAGUCAAAAUGUGGAAAUCUUUUGAUUGUUGUUUGCGCUCUUUGAUUUUUUCUAGGCGC
rnacentral:lncRNA from 1 species